rnacentral:rRNA from 1 species
UACGGAAGGCAGCAGUGGGGAAUAUUGCACAAUGGGCGCAAGCCUGAUGCAGCCAUGCCGCGUGUAUGAAAAAGGCCUUCGGGUUGUAAAGUACUUUCAGUCGUGAGGAAGGUGUUAAGGUUAAUAACCUUAGCAAUUGACGUUAGCGACAGAAGAAGCACCGGCUAACUCCGUGCCAGCAGCCGCGGUAAUACGGAGGGUGCGAGCGUUAAUCGGAAUUACUGGGCGUAAAGGGCACGCAGGCGGUUAAUUAAGUUGGAUGUGAAAUCCCCGGGCUUAACCUGGGAAUGGCAUUCAAGACUGGUUAGCUAGAGUCUUGUAGAGGGGGUAGAAUUCCAUGUGUAGCGGUGAAAUGCGUAGAGAUGUGGAGGAAUACCGGUGGCGAAGGCGGCCCCUGGACAAAGACUGACGCUCAUGUGCGAAAGCGUGGGGAGCGAAAACAGGGAUUAGAUACC